UUAUUCAACUACAAGAACCUUA
rnacentral:tRNA from 4 species